UACGUAGGGAGCGAGCGUUGUCCGGAUUUAUUGGGCGUAAAGAGCUCGUAGGCGGUUCGGUAAGUCGGGUGUGAAAACUCUGGGCUCAACCCAGAGACGCCACCCGAUACUGCUGUGACUUGAGUCUGGUAGGGGAGCACGGAAUUCCUGGUGUAGCGGUGAAAUGCAUAGAUAUCAGGAGGAACACCGGUGGCGAAGGCGGUGCUCUGGGCCAGUACUGACGCUGAAGAGCGAAAGCGUGGGGAGCGAACAGG
rnacentral:rRNA from 1 species